GUCCAGGUCUGGUGAUCAAGCGUCUUUGGAUCCUCUUUGCGCACGGGUUCGGUGAGUACCGGACGUGUCCGGUGCUCACUUGGUCGCGUCCGGUGGUUCGUAGAUGAGCGUUAGGGAUUGACGCGCGAGAUUAAAAAGAGAACACAUGGCCAACCUCUGAGCAUCGGACGCAGGGGGUCGAGCGUCGGGUGUACCCUGCUGAGUGUCCGGUGCCCCCAAUUUCAGCCCAGUGAAAGUGGCCAAUGGCUCUUUUGUUGAGGG
rnacentral:lncRNA from 1 species